AACGAACGCUGGCGGCAGGCCUAACACAUGCGAGUCGAGCGCCCUUUCGGGGGAGCGGCGGACGGGUGAGUAACGCGUGGGAAUAUGCCCUUCUCUACGGAAUAGCCUCGGGAAACUGAGAGUAAUACCGUAUACGCCCUAUGGGGGAAAGAUUUAUCGGGGAAGGAUUAGCCCGCGUUGGAUUAGGUAGUUGGUGGGGUAAUGGCCUACCAAGCCGACGAUCCAUAGCUGGUUUGAGAGGAUGAUCAGCCACACUGGGACUGAGACACGGCCCAGACUCCUACGGGAGGCAGCAGUGGGGAAUCUUAGACAAUGGGGGCAACCCUGAUCUAGCCAUGCCGCGUGAGUGAUGAAGGCCUUAGGGUUGUAAAGCUCUUUCAGCUGGGAAGAUAAUGACGGUACCAGCAGAAGAAGCCCCGGCUAACUCCGUG
rnacentral:rRNA from 1 species